rnacentral:rRNA from 1 species
AGCCUGUUGUAGUUUUAUAAUAGGUGAUUUCUGCCCGGUGAGAAAUUUAACGGCCGCGGUACUCUGACCGUGCAAAGGUAGCAUAAUCACUUGCCUCUUAAUUGGGGGCUGGUAUGAAUGGAAAUACAAGCGUGAAACUGUCUUCUUAUACAUGGUUGGAAUUUCUUGUUUGUGUGAAGAAGCACAAGGGUUUCAGAGGGACAAGAAGACCCUGUCGAGCUUUACUAGUUUUAGUUCUGUUUUUAGUAUAAAUAAAAGAAACUGAGUUGUAAUUAGUUUGGUUGGGGUGACCAGAAAAGAAAAAAUCUUUUCUUAAAAGAGGACGGGUACGUCAAAAAUUGAUCCAGCUUGGUUAUCUAAAGAAUAAGUUACCGCAGGGAUAACAGCGUAAUUUUUUUAGAGAGUUCUUAUCGAAAAAAAAGUUUGCGACCUCGAUGUUGACUUAUUAUUUCCUCGUAGGCGCAGUAGCUAAGGAGGUUGGUCUGUUCGACCAUUAAAAUGAU